rnacentral:rRNA from 1 species
CCCUUAGAUGUUCUGGGCUGCAUGCGCGCUACACUGACGCUAUCAACACGUUUUCCCUCCCUGAGAAGGGCGGGUAACCUUUUGAAUCAGCUUCGUGGUAGGGAUCGGGGCUUGCAAUUGUUCCCCGUGAACCAGGAAUUCCUAGUAGACGCGAGUCAUAAGCUCGCAUCGAUUAAGUCCCUGCCCUUUGUACACACCGCCCGUCGCUACUACCGAUUGAACGUUUUAGUGAGGCAUUUGGACCGACGCAUCUCAGUUUAACCGCUGGUUUGUGUUGGAAAGACUUCCAAACUUGAGCGUUUAGAGGAAGUAAAAGUCGUAACA